rnacentral:rRNA from 1 species
CCUACGGGAGGCUGCAGUGGGGAAUAUUGCACAAUGGGGGAAACUCUGAUGCAGCGACGCCGCGUGCGUGAAGAAGUAUUUCGGUACGUAAAGCUCUAUCAGCAGGGAAGUAAAUGACGGUACCUGACUCAGAAGCUCUGGCUAACUACGUGCCAGCAGCCGCGGUAAUACGUAGGGGGCAAGCGUUAUCCGGAUUUACUGGGUGUAAAGGGAGCGUAGACGGCAGCGCAAGUCUGGAGUGAAAUCCCAUGGCUUAACCAUGGAACUGCUGUUGAAACUGUGCGGCUAGAGUGCAGGAAGGGUAGGCGGAAUUCAUGGUGUAGCGGUGAAAUGCGUAGAUAUUAGGAGGAACACCAGUGGCGAAGGCGACUUACUGGACUGUAACUGACGUUGAGGCUCGAAAGCGUGGGGAGCAAACAGGAUUAGAUACCCUUGUAGUC